rnacentral:rRNA from 1 species
CCUACGGGGGGCAGCAGUGGGGAAUAUUGGACAAUGGGCGAAAGCCUGAUCCAGCCAUGCCGCGUGUGUGAAGAAGGCCUUUUGGUUGUAAAGCACUUUAAGCGGGGAGGAGGGCACCACGGUUAAUACCCGUGAAUGUCGGACGUUACCCGCAGAAUAAGCACCGGCUAACUCUGUGCCAGCAGCCGCGGUAAUACAGAGGGUGCGAGCGUUAAUCGGAAUUACUGGGCGUAAAGCGCGCGUAGGCGGCUUGUUAAGUCAAAUGUGAAAUCCCCGAGCUUAACUUGGGCAUUGCAUUCGAUACUGGCAAGCUAGAGUAUGGGAGAGGAAGGUAGAAUUCCAGGUGUAGCGGUGAAAUGCGUAGAGAUCUGGAGGAAUACCGAUGGCGAAGGCAGCCUUCUGGCCUAAUACUGACGCUGAGGUGCGAAAGCAUGGGGAGCAAACAGGAUUAGAUACCCCAGUAGUC